AGUCGAUUAGUGUAGUGGUUAUCACGUUUCCUUUACACUCCGCAACACUGCGUACGUGCGGAAAAGGUCAUGGGUUCGAUCCCCAUAUUGACUA